GUCCCUGUAGCUCAGUUGGUAGAGCAUGGUGUUUGCAACAACAGGGUUGUGGGUUCGAUUCCCACGGGGGGCC
rfam:Salmo salar isolate Sally breed double haploid chromosome ssa17, whole genome shotgun sequence.